CAAUUAAACGGNNNNNNNNCCCUAACCGUGCAAAGGUAACUAAUUAUAGACCUGCAUGAAAGGCAAACUCUUAUAAUGAAUCAAUUAAACUGAUCUCCUAGUAAAAAAGCUAGAAUUCCAACAUAAGACCAGAAGACCCUGUGAAGCUUAAACUAAACUAUUAAACCAUAUAAUAACUACUUUCGGUUGGGGCGACCUUGGAAAAAAAAAGAACUUCCAAUAACUAUGACAUUCAUACCACCAGGCCCACAAGCCAAUAAAAGACCCAGCAUGGCUGAUCACCGAACCAAGUUACUCCAGGGAUAACAGCGCAAUCCUCUUCAAGAGCCCAUAUCAAAAAGAGGGUUUACGACCUCGAUGUUGGAUCAGGACAUCCUAAUGGUGCAGCCGCUAUUAAGGGUUCGUUUGUUCAACGAUUAAUAGUCCUACGUGAUCU
rnacentral:rRNA from 1 species